rnacentral:sRNA from 1 species
UUUUUCUUUGUCUACAUUUGGCAA